GAUGAAGAACGUAGCGAAAUGCGAUAAGUAAUAUGAAUUGCAGAAUUCAGUGAAUCAUCGAAUCUUUGAACGCACAUUGCGCCCGCCAGUAUUCUGGCGGGCAUGCCUGUUCGAGCGUCAUUACAACCCUCAGGCCCCCGGGCCUGGCGUUGGGGAUCGGCGGAAGCCCCCUGCGGGCACAACGCCGUCCCCCAAAUACAGUGGCGGUCCCGCCGCAGCUUCCAUUGCGUAGUAGCUAACACCUCGCAACUGGAGAGCGGCGCGGCCACGCCGUAAAACACCCAACUUCUGAAUGUUGACCUCGAAUCAGGUAGGAAUACCCGCUGAACUUAAGCAUAUCAAUAAGCGGAGGA
rnacentral:misc_RNA from 1 species